GCCAGACUCCUACGGGAGGCAGCAGUGGGGAAUAUUGCGCAAUGGGCGAAAGCCUGACGCAGCGACGCCGCGUGAGGGAUGAAGGUCUUCGGAUCGUAAACCUCUGUCAGCAGGGAAGAACGGUCACUGUGCUAAUCAGCAGUGAAUUGACGGUACCUGCAAAGGAAGCACCGGCUAACUACGUGCCAGCAGCCGCGGCAAUACGUAGGUGGCAAGCGUUGUCCGGAUUUACUGGGUGUAAAGGGCGUGCAGCCGGAGAGACAAGUCAGAUGUGAAAUCCGCAGGCUCAACCUGCGAACUGCAUUUGAAACUGUUUCCCUUGAGUAUCGGAGAGGUCAUCGGAAUUCCUAGUGUAGCGGUGAAAUGCGUAGAUAUUAGGAAGAACACCAGUGGCGAAGGCGGAUGACUGGACGACAACUGACGGUGAGGCGCGAAAGCGUGGGGAGCAAACAGGAUUAGAUACCCGGGUAGA
rnacentral:rRNA from 1 species